GAUGAACGCUGGCGGCGUGCCUAAUACAUGCAAGUCGAGCGAACAGACGAGGAGCUUGCUCCUCUGACGUUAGCGGCGGACGGGUGAGUAACACGUGGAUAACCUACCUAUAAGACUGGGAUAACUUCGGGAAACCGGAGCUAAUACCGGAUAACAUGUUGAACCGCAUGGUUCAACAGUGAAAUACGGUCUUGCUGUCACUUAUAGAUUGAUCCGCGCCGCAUUAGCUAGUUGGUAAGGUAACGGCUUACCAAGGCAACGAUGAGUAGCCGACCUGAGAGGGUGAUCGGCCAAACUGGAACUGAGACACGGUCCAGACUCCUAAGGGAGGCAGCAGUAGGGAAUCUUACGCAAUGGGCGAAAGCCUGACGGAGCAACGCCGCGUGAGUGAUGAAGGUCUUCGGAUCGUAAAACUCUGUUAUUAGGGAAGAACAAAUGUGUAAGUAAAUAUGCACGUCUUGACGGUACCUAAUCAGAAAGCCACGGCUAACUACGUG
rnacentral:rRNA from 1 species